CAGGAGUCUAAUCUGUGCGCAAGUUAUUGAGUUCUUUGUGAAAAACUCGAAAUGCAAAAUGAACGUGAAGGUUCUUAUUCGAGAGCUGACGGAAGAUCCCUGGUAAUGCCCUCUUAAGUGGGAUGGCUAGGGCGCACUCCGGGGGCACUACGACUGCAAUUGCCAGUCUGGUGCACCGAGAGCGUACACGUUGGGACCCGAAAGAUGGUGAACUAUGCCUGGCAAGGGCGAAGCCAGGGGGAACUCUGUGGAGGUCCGUUUGGAUUCUGACGUGCAAAUCGAUCCUCAAAGCUGGGUAUAGGGGCGAAAGACUAAUCGAACCAUCUAGUAGCUGGUUCCCCCCGAAGUUUCCCUCAGGAUAGCUGGUGCUCGUUGUGAGAUGAAAAGUUUCAUCCGGUAAAGCGAAUGAUUAGAGGCCUUGGGGGCGAAAUGACCUCAACCUAUUCUCAAACUUUAAAUGGGUGAGAAGCCGGGCUUGCUUGAAUGAAGCUCCUGGCAUUUAUGAAUUGUGAGAGUACCCAGUGGGCCACUUUUGGUAAGCAGAACUGGCGCUGUGGGAUGAACCAAACGUUGGGUUAAGGUGCCAAAAUGAACGCAAAUCUGAUCCCAUGAAGGGUGUCGGUUGCUCUAGACAGCAGGACGGUGGCCAUGGAAGUUGGAAUCCGCUAAGGAGUGUGUAACAACUCACCUGCCGAAGCAACCAGCCCUGAAAAUGGAUGGCGCUCUAGCGUUUUGCCUAUACCCAACCGCUGGAACAGAGCUGGUAUGAGCCCUUAAGUUCCAGUGAGUAGGGGGGUGUAGUGGUGUGCUUUGAAGGGUCUGGGUGUGAGCCUGCCUGGAGCCGCCCAUCGC
rnacentral:rRNA from 1 species